UUACAUCACACUUAAAUGGGUUAAAUCAUAAACAUACUUCAGCCAUUUGGCAGCUCAAGGCUUCCUACCCAGGAAUAUUCUGUUAUGAAAGCGUUUGGGCAACAAUAGGGCAACUGUUUGUUUUGCAGAUGCGGUGAAGGUCAGCUGAUCUGGUUCAUGUGGGACAUGCACGCUGGUUGCAGCUCCUGCUGUUGCUAUGAGACUAUUCUGAAAGUCCUUUUGAAGUGCGGCGCUGCUUAGCCGAACAUUCGGCGCUCUGUCGGCUCUAGAAAACGUGUGAAAAUGUCUCGGCGCUUGAGGUUGAAGUGGUUUUCUCCCGCGGCUCGCUAUAACUCCGAAGUGAAUCAUUUUUGGGGUAAUCUCGAUGAAAGCUAUGUAACAUACUUAAUGUUGGGUUUAUAGCUUGCAAAAUGCUUUAUAAAUUAGUAAUAAACCAUUUAUAUGAAGAACUUUUAUUUUCAGAGCAAAGUGUUUAGGUGGUGUAUCUUCUCCACCAUGUUUUCUUAUCAAACACUUUAAAUCCCCAAUAGUCAACAGACUGCUCCAACUGCCAUUUAUGUGUUUUUACCGAUUCAUAUAGCAUUUAUAGUGAAGGGAAUUUACAAAAUAAGCCAUGUUUAAAAAAAAAAAAGUAGUAUUAAGGAAUCUUUGAUUUUAGUAUGAUAAUUCUGCUGGAAUUCACUGUUAUGAUUCUUUAAGCAUUUGAGUUGGGGGGCGGGGGGGACUGAAUAAAAUAAUGGAAGAAGGAACAAUGACUGUAUCCCAGAUUAGACACAGUCUUUACUGUUCAUCAUCAUGGGAUAUAACGCUCACAAGUACAUCACACAUUUAUCUGUUCUGAGAGUUUUGAGCUAUCUGCCACCACCACAAGACAAUGGAGGAAAAUGGGAUUUCAAUUUUGUUGCUUAAAAAGGUGAAAAAGUCAACAGUAACUCUAUAUCUCUCCAGACAAAUGUCCCCAAACCCAUGAUGCAUUUCAACUAUUUGCUGUGAUCUCUUAUUGAUUUUAAUCACAGUAACAGAGACUCACUUUCUAGAAAGGGUUGGUGCUUUUGUAUUAUUUUAGAAUUCAAUAUGUCUCAGUUAUUAACAGAAAUGGACAAAUUAAACCAGCACUUUUGGUGAGAUACCACUGAAUAAGUGCUGUAAGUGUAAAGAUAUGCUUUUAGUCGUUUGGAUGAACCAGGCCUUUUGAAGCUUUAGUGCAUAGCUUUUUUUUAUAUUAAUAAACUUCUGUUACACUCAAGCCAUUUCUAAAUGAGUUGAUACGAAGCUAAUUAAGACUAUCAGCUCCACACAUCUCUCUCUGUAUUUCUCAGUAUGGCUAUGUAUUUUCCAAUAAUUGUGUCGUCUGUCAACUUUCAUACAGAGAAACUCAAGUGAAGAUAAUAACUUCUUCUGAAGAGUCCAUCCUGUUUUGGUUUUUGUUAAUCCUCCGUGUUGUCAUUGGCCAAUGUUGCAUUGCAUUCACAUGGGAACUCAGAAGCCGAAACUGGCAAUGACGUAACACCCGAGUUGAAUGCGUUCCAUUUUCAAGUUGGGUUUUCAUUGCUUUCGUUAGCUCUAGCCAGGUUAGCCAUU